rnacentral:piRNA from 1 species
UUGGGGUUCAUGGACUUAGGAGGUGG